GUCCAUGCCUCGACGGGUCAGAGCUGUUUUGGCGGCACAAGUGGGACGUACACGAUAUUAGGACGCAACUCUGGAGAGAAACAGUUUACCUAUGGGACAGAGAUAUCUUCUUCAGCUUCACAGUGGAGACGUUAUACAACAUGUCUAACUGUAAAGAAGAUGCUCUUUUUACUCGUGUUCAACUAUUUAUAAUCUGUUACUGUAUGUUGUAUUUAUUGUCAUUUAUUUACUUUGCUUUUUGUUUUGUUUUUUGUACAUUGAAGUGAAAUGUCUUCCCAUUUUUAAUUUAUAUUUGUCUUCUAUAACAAAUUUAGAAGACCAAAAAAAAAAAAAAAAGAAACGUCCUUUGACUUUUUGGUUUCUUUUAUUAUUUAUGUGUAAUUUAGUACAUUUCACUACUAUACAUACAACUUCAUGAGCAAAAGAAUAAAACUCAGACACACA
ensembl:lncRNA